rnacentral:ribozyme from 15 species
UCAGAAAACAGGUAUGAAACAAACUCAGAGUCGAAAGCAGAAAUAUCAAACGUGAUUUCACAAAUUUCAAAUAGAGUUUUUU